rnacentral:rRNA from 1 species
AUUGAACGCUGGCGGCAUGCCUUACACAUGCAAGUCGAACGGCAGCACGGGAGCAAUCCUGGUGGCGAGUGGCGAACGGGUGAGUAAUAUAUCGGAACGUGCCCAGUCGUGGGGGAUAACGCAGCGAAAGCUGUGCUAAUACCGCAUACGAUCUACGGAUGAAAGCGGGGGAUCGCAAGACCUCGCGCGAUUGGAGCGGCCGCUAUCAGAUUAGCUAGUUGGUGAGGUAAAGGCUCACCAAGGCGACGAUCUGUAGCUGGUCUGAGAGGACGACCAGCCACACUGGAACUGAGACACGGUCCAGACUCCUACGGGAGGCAGCAGUGGGGAAUUUUGGACAAUGGGCGCAAGCCUGAUCCAGCAAUGCCGCGUGCAGGAUGAAGGCCUUCGGGUUGUAAACUGCUUUUGUACGGAACGAAACGGCGAGCUCUAAUACAGUUUGCUAAUGACGGUACCGUAAGAAUAAGCACCGGCUAACUACGUGCCAGCAGCCGCCGCCGUAA